GCUCUGGUGGUCUAGUGGUUAAGAUUUGGCACUCUCACUGCUGGAGUCUAGGUUUGUUUCCUAGUCAGGGAA
rnacentral:tRNA from 1 species